rnacentral:rRNA from 1 species
UACGUAGGGGGCGAGCGUUGUCCGGAUUCAUUGGGCGUAAAGCGCGCGUAGGCGGCAGGGCAAGUCGGCCGUGAAAUCUCCCAGCUUAACUGGGAGGGGUCGGGCGAGACUGCCCCGCUAGAGGCGGGUAGAGGGCAGUGGAAUUCCGGGUGUAGUGGUGGAAUGCGUAGAGAUCCGGAGGAACACCAGUGGCGAAGGCGGCUGCCUGGGCCUGGCCUGACGCUGAGGCGCGAAAGCGUGGGGAGCAAUCCGG